ACAGAGAGAAGUCUGCGACCCGGAAGAGGGCCCUCACUGGACCAUGCUGGCUCCCUGAUCUCAGACUUCCAGCCUCCAGAACUGAGAGCAAUGAAUUCCUGCUGUUUAGAAGCCACCCGGUCUGUGGUGUUUUGUUAUAGCAGCCGGAACAGACUAAGACACUUCACAACAACCCUAUCAGGGGCUGGAUCGGAGGAGGCAGAACUGGUUACAAGAACUGUGGGAGGAAGAGGCAGGAAAUUUAACAAUGGACCACAGACCAUUCAAAGGAUGUGAUGGGAAACACAGCCAUUGGCAGCCCUGGACUCAUAUUGUCUCGUUGAGCCAUCUCAGCAGGAAAACCAUCUUUUCCAAGAGCUCCAGCAGAAAAAUCCUACAAAGGGCUCUGGCCAGGUUGGUUCGUGAGCCCACCAUCAAACCAAUCACUGUGGCCGGAAAGAGGAGCUAUUCUGAUGAACUACAUGUGGCUACAUGUUCAUAGUUGUGGCUGGCCAGAGUGGGGUCAGCCCACCCAAGCCAUGUGAAAUGGGCUUCCCCAGGAAAGAGGAGAUGGGACUCCAGGAGAAGAGGGCUGAGAAGUUCCCAGCAGGAACCCAUGUCAAAAUUCCACCUUUCAGACCUUUCCCAGACAGAUGAGGAUGAGCCCCCUGCACAUCCCUUUCCAGCAGCUGCUUGAAAUAUCAACUCCACCUGUCCUAGAGCUUGAUGAGUCGAUCUGUCUUCGGCCACUUCCCUCCAUCUAGGAAUGUCAAUACCGUGUUAAAUUGACUCUGAAUAGAGACAAGAUUAUGGAGUCCCUCCGUCUCGAAGCAGGUGCCAAAAGAAAAUGAUUUAUUUUCACUCAUCUAGGCCCAAACCAGAAAAUUACUUCCACUCUAACUCUUCAGAGGAGGGAGCAGCUGCCUGGGGCACAGCUCUUUCUGCCUCUCUGGAAGCCAAAGACCACGGUGGGGUAACCGACUUUGGAUUUUUCCAGAAUUCUUUCCCUAGUUCACAAUCAUCCAUCCCAAGGGGCUUCAUAGUCACAGAGGAUUCCUGACACUCCCACACAGCUAUGGGCCUGCCAGUUGGCACACGUUUUCUGAAAAGUACUUUGUCCAAAAAUAACAAAGCUUUUAAAAUGUUAAGUGUGAUGGAGGAAAAACAGCUUCAUAUUUGAUUGUCUACAUCUUUGAUUGUCUCCACCUGCUAAAGAUAACUCCGUGGUGGCCUGUUCAGCCUUCCUUUUUCUCUCUCCAAUAGGAAGA